rnacentral:rRNA from 1 species
GACGAACGCUGGCGGCGUGCCUAAUACAUGCAAGUAGAACGCAGUUGCGAACGGGUGAGUACGGCGUAGGUACCUGCCUGGUAGCGGGGGAUAACUAUUGGAAACGAUAGCUAAUACCGCCUACUAUCAGAUGGACCUGCGUUGUAUUAGCUGGUUGGUGGGGUAAUGGCCCACCAAGGCAACGAUAAAUAGCCGACCUGAGAGGGGGAUCGGCCACACUGGGACUGAGACACGGCCCAGACUCCUACUGGAGGAAGCAGUAGGGAAUCUUCGGCAAUGGACGGAAGUCUGACCGAGCAACGCCGCGUGAGUGAAGAAGGUGUUCGGAUCGUAAAGCUCUGUUGUAAAGGAAGCGGUAUCUUACCAGAAAGGGACGGCUAACUACGUGCCAGCAGCCGCGGUAAUUC